CUGUGGCCUGGCGUUGGGAGAAGAUGUGUGAGGGUCAGUGCUGGUCGUGGGCGAGAAGGAAAAGGUGCAGCCUGUGCUCUCACUGGUCGGGCGCGGGGAGACCGUCGAGCAGGCAGCGUGGCUGCUGAGGGCCUUGGACGGGUGCGGAGGCGUUCCACGGGUCUCGGGAGGCUGGGGUGAGGAACGCGUGUCUGGUCGAAAGGGUGACAGGCUCGGGUCCCUCCUUGUGCUCUUCCCUUGGGUCUUCUGGAUCUGAGGCCCCAGACCAAAUCUGCUUGCUGACCAUUUAGCACAUUAAGCGUUAUCUGCGCGCUUCCACGGCCACGUCCACACUCCAGCCACGGCAGCAAGUCACUGUGAUGGAGACGACGUGGCCUGCAAAGUCCAGGCACAUGUUGUGUCUGGCCCUGGGCAGAGAGUGCCCAGCCCCAGGACGUCUAGGCCGUCAGCGGUGGUGCCAACUCUCAGCCAUCACCCCUUGUCCCCGCAGAAGAAAAGGCAGUAAAAGACGAACCGAUGUGUGAAUGAAGACAAAGAUGAUGUUGAAAGUGGCCCAUGAAACGGAGACCAGACAAAAGCGUAAAAGCUAAGGCGCCGUUAGAAAACAACAGGCCAGGGUCCGAGCCCAGGCCUCUGUGUGAAUCCUUCCUCUGUAAGUGCCUGGGCAGUGCCAGGGCCCCUGGCCAGGACGGAGGCCUCGAGGGCCGAGGAAUCCCUCGCAUCCGGCCUGUGACAUGCACACACUCCCUUCUUCUCGUCUGUGGUCGUGUCGCUGCUAAACUGGGCUGAGAAAAUCCAAGACAUGCAGGCUGCCGUGUGCCGAAAAAGCCAGACCCGCCUUGGUCUUGUUAUGGUACUGAGUCUGAGGAGGAAGAAAACGUCUUUGGGAACUUUGCAUAAACUUAAACGUGAGGGUCUUUGCCGUUUGCGAGGGUCGCCAUGGAGACAAGAGCGUGCGAUCAGCACGGCGACCCCUGUCAGCAUCCUCCCGCUGAAACUCCUACGUGUAACAUUAGGUGUGGCUGCUGCUGUGAAAAGACCGAGUGUGAAUGCGUGCACUGUCCUGAUGACAGUGGUGUUGAAUGGUAAGCUGACACCGUGCAGAUUCCCGCAGAGCUGACAUCUGGCCCUGCCCCGCUGCCUCCGCACGGGUGGGACAUCCUUGGGCGGCUCGCUCUUUGUUUCCUCCUGGGUCUCCGGCCUCCUUCGAGGGAGCCUCCCUGUGUCUUUGCUUUUUAGGGCUGCCUGGAGCUUCCUGCAGCUUCCUUGAAGGACACUCCGUGAGUUCGGUUGCUUCGUAUAAGAGAAAGGAAUCAUAUGCUUUCGUAACGACUCCCAUAUAUAGUUAAGAGCAGUGAUUUUGGUAGAUAACUGCCUUCGAAACAAGGCAAGCCUUCUUCCCUAACACGCGAAGUCGCAUCGCAUAACCUGCCGCACACUCUGUCUCUAGAAUGGAUCUGUAUUUAGAAAUAAAGGAUUCCCAAAUGUGUGACA
rnacentral:lncRNA from 1 species